rnacentral:lncRNA from 1 species
UCUUAGUACAAAUGGGCCACAAAAAAGUGUCUCGAAAGUCUAAUUUGUCUCAUGAACUUUUUGACAUUUGUAAUGAAAAUUAACACUUAGUUUUAACACGUUCGGUGCCCAUGACGCAUGAGUAGUGUCACGAAGGUUUUAUCAAAGGUACCGAUGACGCAUAACUGGCGUGAGUAGUAUAGUGGAACCUCGAUAAGUCGGAUUAAUCGGGACCGCGGCCGAUCCGGGUUAUCGAAAAUCCGGGUUAGCCGGAGAAUAUGG